rnacentral:rRNA from 1 species
AUUGAACGCUGGCGGCAUGCUUUACACAUGCAAGUCGAACGGUAACAGGCCUUCGGGUGCUGACGAGUGGCGAACGGGUGAGUAAUGCAUCGGAACGUACCCAGAGGUGGGGGAUAACGCAGCGAAAGCUGUGCUAAUACCGCAUGUGAUCUGAGGAUGAAAGCGGGGGACCGAGCAGCAAUGUUUGGCCUCGCGCCUUUGGAGCGGCCGAUGUCGGAUUAGCUAGUUGGUGGGGUAAAGGCCUACCAAGGCGACGAUCCGUAGCUGGUCUGAGAGGACGAACAGCCAAACUAGGACUGAGACACGGCCCAGACUCCUACGGGAGGCAGCAGUGGGGAAUUUUGGACAAUGGGCGCAAGCCUGAUCCAGCAAUGCCGCGUGCGGGAAGAAGGCCUUCGGGUUGUAAACCGCUUUUGGCAGGAACGAAACGGUGUCCGCUAAUACCGGGCGCUAAUGACGGUAGCUGGAGAAUAAGCACGGGCUAACUACGUG